AGAUCUUGCCCUUUUUGCAUGCAUUUAUUAACAAUGACUACUUUUCCACAAAACUUGCCAUUGUCAGGUGUCUCAGUGCACCGAAUGUCAGGCAGCCGGCAUAUCAAUAAAAAGCCCAACAGAGGUCAUGCCUAUACAGGUGUCUCAGCCAUUCGAACUCUUGGGGAUGGACCUCAUUGGCAAACUGGCUCAGACAAAAGAUGGAUACCAAUAUAUUUGCGUGAUGGUCGAUUAUUUCACGAAAUGGCCUCAAGCCUAUCCGUUGAGGUCGAAGUCUGCUGCUGAUGUUACCGCCUGUAUCCUAAAAUUCGUCUACCAAUUUGAGUCGGCAAAAAGGAUCUUGACAGAUCAAGGCAAAGAAUUUGUCAAUGCAGUAAGUACAACAGUGUUUGGCAGAAAUUAUCUUCAUCAUAGCUGUCAAAUACAAGUCCCUGAGGGCAUAUCUGGCCUGCAACUUUAUUUUGUGUGGCCGAUGAAAGCAACGAAAGGAUGUCGAACUUCAUAAAAUAGCUGGAGUAAAAU